rnacentral:rRNA from 1 species
CCUACGGGGUGCAGCAGUGGGGAAUAUUGGGCAAUGGGCGCAAGCCUGACCCAGCAACGCCGCGUGAAGGAAGAAGGCUUUCGGGUUGUAAACUUCUUUUGUCAGGGAAGAGUAGAAGACGGUACCUGACGAAUAAGCCACGGCUAACUACGUGCCAGCAGCCGCGGUAAUACGUAGGUGGCACGCGUUGUCCGGAUUUACUGUGUGUAAAGGGCGGGUAGCCGGGUUGACAAGUCAGAUGUGAAAUCCUGCGGCUUAACCGCAGAACUGCAUUUGAAACUGUUGAUCGUGAGUGCUGGAGAGGCAGAUGGAAUGCCUAGUGUAGCGGUGAAAUGCGUAGAUAUUAGGAGGAACACCAGUGGCGAAGGCGGUCUGCUGGACAGCAACUGACGGUGAGGCGCGAAAGCGUGGGGAGCAAACAGGAUUAGAGACCCGUGUAGUC